UACGAAGGGGGCUAGCGUUGUUCGGAAUUACUGGGCGUAAAGCGCGCGCAGGCGGUUCUUCAAGUCAGAGGUGAAAGCCCAGAGCUCAACUCUGGAAUGGCCUUUGAGACUAGAGAACUAGGGUACGGGAGAGGUGAGUGGAAUUCCGAGUGUAGAGGUGAAAUUCGUAGAUAUUCGGAAGAACACCAGUGGCGAAGGCGGCUCACUGGACACGUAUUGACGCUGAGGUGCGAAAGCGUGGGGAGCAAACAGGG
rnacentral:rRNA from 1 species